CAAAACUCUAGUACCACCAGGGAGGCAACACGGGAGCCCACUACAGCCAGCAUCCCAGUCACAAAGAAAAACUGCAGCAUCCCGAAAAGUCCACUGCUGAGCAGUGAAGCGGUGAGUGAACAGUGAUUCCAGGCAGCAGAUAACCCUCUGAGGAGAAGAAGGACUUCCCACAUGGACUCCAACAGUGCUGGCAGCGUGCAAUAUGAUCGCCGGAACGAGGAAAACAUCAACAUGAAAGUCGAUGCACCACAGUCUUCUGUGAUGAGGCCCAUUGGUGCAGGAGUCAAUGUUGCAGGAAGCUGUGAAUCAAAAGUCCCUUAAAUCGGUCUGGUGUAAGUCUCUGAAUUCGGGGACGGCUGCUUUGCUCCCUGCUGCAAGAGCAACACAAAUUUUAUUAUAUUUAUUGGAUCAUAAUCGUCUUUAAGCUAAACUCAUGAGCCCUCUGCCGUAGCUCGACGUGCGCCUCCAAAAUUUUUUUACUUUGUGUCGAGGCGACGCAGACCGCAAGGACUGCGAUUGGUCAACUCGUCCUGUGUGUUGAUAGUCGGUGUUUCAAGCAGCCUACUGUGGGGAGUAGCAACACGCUAGUUCACUGUUCGUGGAGUUGAUGCAGAAGCAUAAAAAAGCUUUAGUUCUAAACAACUUUACCUCAGCUCUACCUGAGAGUCCACCAAGCAGAGGUCAGUAAAUAAAUAUCUUCUGGUGUGUGGUGCUGUUGAAGACUUUGAACCAUCUGCAGUAAUUGUUAUUCCAUUUAGAAGAAUGAGUUUGGCUUAUUACCAGGAGUCAUUCAACAAACGUCUUGCGUUAAUACACACUAAGACAGAGAGUUCUAGUGGUGGU